CACAUACACUGCUGCCCUCACACACACACACUGCGCACACACUGUCCCCCUCACACACACACACACUGCACCACUCACACACACCACUGCUCCUAUGCCCUACUACUGCCCCAUUUCCCAGAAGACCUCAGGUAAGUUGUCAAACUGUUCUUAAAUGGUUUGACUACUUACUCUGGGAGGGGGUCCCGGCACUAUUGACACC